rnacentral:rRNA from 1 species
UACGUAGGGUGCGAGCGUUGUCCGGAAUUAUUGGGCGUAAAGAGCUCGUAGGUGGUUUGUCGCGUUGUUCGUGAAAACUCACAGCUCAACUGUGGGCGUGCGGGCGAUACGGGCAGACUAGAGUACUGCAGGGGAGACUGGAAUUCCUGGUGUAGCGGUGGAAUGCGCAGAUAUCAGGAGGAACACCGGUGGCGAAGGCGGGUCUCUGGGCAGUAACUGACGCUGAGGAGCGAAAGCGUGGGGAGCGAACAGG